rnacentral:lncRNA from 1 species
GCCAGUCUCGAUAGAGAGCUUAAUGUCUCGGUUUCCAACACAUCUAAUUUUAGAAACAGUGCACAAGAGUUUCAUAUGGAUAAAACUAUCAUCUCUCACUUAAUUAAUACAGCAUAAUAUCAGCAUAUUUAAUGCUCAUAAAACUUUAAUAAAAUCAUAUUGAAACUAGCCUUAAAGAGUGCAAAAGACCAAGCCAUCUUUUCUGGUCAUGUACUGUAACUCCUUUUGAAGUCCACCCACCAAUUGUCUUCUAUUCAACAAUCCCUCACAAAACACUUAGGAUUUCUAACCAAAUUGUAAAGAUCGCUGUAAAUGAUUUUAAGAAAAACCUCCUUUAGCCAGCAAUCCUUCUAAAAACGACACAACCUCCAAUUCUCUAUCUUAAAAGUAGCUCCCCAUUUGAAGAGAUGUUUAACCUUGUGUAACCCUUUCCAAGGGUUGUAACAGAAGUUUCAGUAACUUUCGAAAUGCCCUGUCAUGUUUUCCAUCCGCUUCGCGUUCACAUGACACCACUUGAUAAUGAUAUAUAUACUACUCCGUCCCUCAAUCAAAAUAUGGAUAAUGAUAUACUCCGUACCUCAAUCAAAAUAUGGUCGGGAGGAGCUGACAAAACAGCGCAAAAGCACGUUUUAAAUAAUUGACAUGCUAUCGAGAACAGUACUUUCAACACGCAGGGAAGGCAUGUUCUCGUUUAGUUGGCCGUUUAGCUCCGAAAACCAUUUUUGUUAUUUUUGUUAUUUGAUAAUUAUUGUUUAAUUAUGGGCUAACUACUCAACAAAUUUAUCUUGUGAUUUACAGGUAAACUGUGCAAUUAGUUUUUAUUUUUAUCUAUAUUUAGUGCUUCAUACAUGUGCCGCAAGAUUCGAUGUGACAAAAAUCUUAAAAAGCUUUUUGUUUUUGAGAUGAACUAAUCAAGGCCUAAAUAAAUAUUUAAACAAAUGUAUUGACAUACUAUUGAGAACAACGGUCCUUUUCUCGUUUCAACUGGGUCUUGUGGGGUGAAAAGUUUUUGGGUGGUACAUAAGAUGUUAGAAGAAGAAUUUGGAUUCUAAUAAAAAUAAUAAAUUACAUAGAAAACUGCAAGACAAAUUUAUUAAGCCUAAUUAAUCUAUCAUUAGCACAUGUGCUGUAGUAGUUAUCGUUAAUUAUAGACUAAUUAGAUUUAAAAGAUUAAUCUCACAAUUUACAAACAAACCAAACUUAAUGAUUUGAUGCGAUGGAUAAAAAUUUUUUAAGUGUGGAACUAAGAGCAUCUCCAAUAGAACUUGGCAUCCAUAAAAAUUUAGCAAAACAAAAAAAAUAGUCUCCAACAGUUUACCAUCUAGACUUGGUAUUUAUCCUAACUUGGCAUAUCUCCUCCUUCAGCGCGUAAAUAUACUCGUGCGGGGCGUAAAUAUACGCGUGCGUAUCGAGCUCCCCAUUCUGUUUUCGUGCGGAUUUUUCUAGUUGGCGCGGCUUCCUGAUUGGUUCUGGUUGUGCUGCUGCCUGUUUGAAGUGACUAGAGUACAGGUGUGGUCCAUGCGAGUGCUGCCAAAUAUGCCAGGUGCUGAAUAAAUGACGAUGCUCCUUCUUUUCACACGAAACUAUUUUUUGGUAAAAUGAACAUGGUACCACUUUCAUUUCUAUUUGCUUGGAUUAACUAGGGCCUUGUUUAGUUCUCAAAAAAUUUUACAAAAUUUUUUAGAUUCUCCGUCACAUCAAAUCUUUAGAUAUAUGCAUGAAGUACUAAAUAUAGAUAAAAAUAAAAACUAAUUGCACAGUUUAGUCGAAAUUGACGAGACAAAUCUUUUGAGCCUAGUUAGUCCAUGAUUGGACAAUAUUUGUCAAAUACAAACGAAAAAGCUACAGUGUCCAUUUUACAAAAUAUUUUGAAACGAAACAAGGCCUAGGCUUAAAAGAUUCAUCUCGCAAAUUACAGAUAAAUUAUGCAAUUAUUUAUUUUUUAUCUAUAUUUAAUGCUUCAUACAUGUACCACAAUAUUCGAUGGAACUAAAAAAAGGCCUAAACGAAACACGUGACCAAAAUUUCUACAUUUCAGCAUAGUGGUGGGUCUUUCUUUGUUUUGCCAAGUUAAAAAUAGGGAAUUAUUGGAGAGAGUGUCUUUUAAACUUGACAUAUUCUUUUAGCAACUUGCUAAAACACAACAUUUGCCAAGUAAAUUUUGGCAAACUGUUAAAGUAAAUAAAGCCUGAACGUUUAAAACUAAUGCUAUCAGUCAGUCGAUGCGAAAACAUUUAAAAUCCAUUAUCCUGAAUUAUUUGUAGUCAUAUGCAGGGAUUAUCAGAGAUUGUUAAGCUCAAGCCUCAAAGAAAAAAAUUUUGAUUGUAGCACUUUUGUUUCUUUGUGAUAAUUAUUGUCUAAUUAUAGACUAAUUAGGCUUAAAAAAUUCAUCUCGUCAAUUUUGACCAAACUAUACAAUUAGUUUUUAUUUUCAUCUAUAUUUAAUACUCUAUGCAUACGUACGUUUAAAGGUUACAGAAAAUCUUAAAAAAAAUAGGUUUUUGGGUUCAAUAUGACGAAAAAUCUUAAAAAAAUAAGUUUUUAGGUGAAAGUAAACAGGGCCCAAAGAAAUGAAAUGAAAGCAAAAUAAAAUAUAGGCCCUCUUUGGAUCAUACUUCAUGCUUUUUUUCCUAUGGAAUUGAACUAGAGGAGGCCAAUGCUAUGGAAUGCUUCUUGUACUUUUUCUAUGAACCAAAGAGUAGGAUAGGAAAAUUUUCUUUGAGAAUCCUAUCCUACAAAAUUCCUUUGUUUCACCCUUGAACAAAGGAGCCCUAAAAUGUGGGUCGAAUCCAGGCCCGCAUGAUCAAAGCCCGAAGGCGUCACGGCGAGCAGACAUGCAGACCCGCUGGUGCUCUGCUCUCCGUGCACACUACCAUGCUUCCUUCCUCUUUCUCAUCCAGAGCAUCGGCUUAUUGUGCACGGCUUAAAGAUCUUCAUAAAACAAAGGACUUUUUUCAAACUUCUUUUUUAUGAAAGAUCGAACCAUGGAGGAAUGGAUGGAUGUUUAUCAGUUGAUCAGAUAAUUGUAGUCUGAUUUUUCGAGUCAACACAACUAUGCGUUUCUGCGAAGGCUUAUCCUCACAUCAACUGGGCCAAAAUCUUGUAUUUCUGAUUUUGCAAGAAGGGGAAAAGAUAGAACUGAAAAAGCAAAAUCAAUAGAGGGUAUUUUUUCAACAAAGAAUAAGAAGCUUGGAAAGUCGCUUGAUCGGGCAGAGGCUCAGAAGGAUCCAUUGGUUAUUCUCAAUCAGCAGGGCGGAACCCCGUCCCUCAGAAAAUCCCUUAUCAUGACGCAUCACAGCCUCCAAACGGCGAGAUCCAAACCGAAAUGCAAGUGAAAAACAAUCGAUCAGAAACCUACAUAACAUAAACGCAUCGGCAAAAUGCAAGCGAUGAGAACUGGAUGCACGAUUUGCAGGUGGCGGCUACGCAGGUGGAACCGAACAACGGGGAGGCGGCGGAGGGGAGGGAGGUGAGAGGUGCGCCUGGCGAAGAGACCAGAGUAUAUAUAGCGAGGGUGGUGUGGACUAGGGUUAUCCAGCGACUCGCUGUGUUUGGGCCUCCGUGGACAUUUCGAUGAAAUCAAAAGAGUAGGCCUAUAGUUUUUCCCAGCCCAUUUCAGGUAACAGCUGGCCCAAUUUUUGCACCAGACACAAACACAAAAAAAAAAAUUGUUCCUUACAAUUUUUUUGCACCGGAAGUGAGAGAAAAAAAGAUUCUACUCUCUCCGUCUAUAAAAUAAUGUAAUUCUCACGUUCUAAAAAAUCAAACAAUUUAAACUUUUGAGUAAAAUUAUAUAAAAAGGUACUAAUACUCAUGAAGUAAAAUAAGUAUCAUUACAUUAGUUAGAGAAUAGUUAGGUCCAGCUUCCCCUAAAAGAGCUUUGGCUAUUUAUGGAGCAACUUCUCUAGGGGAGUUAAAGACAUUUUCAAUAAAUGUUCGACAAAAUAGCUCCCGUAGCAGUUCUGUAAUAAUUUAUAUCUGGCUCCUCUAGGCCCCUUGCAAGGAACAAAAAUUCAGAGCCUAGCUAAACGCAGACAAAUUGGCUUAUCACGACUCGCAAACCUUAUACAAAUUAUUAUAGAUUACAGAACUGCUCUUGAAAUCAUACCAAAUAGUUUCUAGAACAACUUCAGCUUGUUUGUCUAAAUUGUAAAUAAAAAGUAAAGGAUAUAUGUCCUAAAGCGGAUAUCUUUCCAUCUUUUUCUUUUUGGUUAUUUCUAACCCGCCGAUAGCUUGGUCUAUAGUCUAUACAGACGUCGCCUGAUGUGUCACCGGUUGAUUCCUUCAACUACUGUAUUUAAACUCAAAUCAAUCAAUGGAAAAACACACUUCAAUUCAUUCUCUCGUUCUUACAUACUUGAACAGGACAAACCAUUUUUACUGCAAAAAUUAAGAGAUGCUAUUCUUUGGAGAAGUACACCCAGAACUAUACCGCAACACUGUCUCCGCAGAGAAAAAAGUUGUAUUAAAAUUCGCAACAGAAAGAAGGCUUAAUGCCGUACAACUCAGCGUACAAACUCUGAAUGGAGACGAAAACAUGUAAGCAAAGCAAUCGGACAACCUCUUCAUUAGCACAGCAGCAUGAACUUUUACAUCACUUCCUCGUUACAAUGGCAAUGCUCAAGCAGGAACCCAAAC